rnacentral:rRNA from 1 species
AGCAGUAGCCACGGUAAUACGAAGGGGGCUAGCGCUGUUCGGAUUUACUGGGCGUAAAGGGCGCGUAGGCGGACUGAUAAGUCAGGGGUGAAAUCCCAAGGCUCAACCUUGGAACUGCCUUUGAUACUGUCUGUCUUGAGUUCGAGAGAGGUAAGUGGAACUGCGAGUGUAGAGGUGAAAUUCGUAGAUAUUCGCAAGAACACCAGUGGCGAAAGCACUCUGCUGGGCCGACACUGACACUGAGAGACGAAAGCUAGGGGAGCAAAUGGGAUUAGAGACCCCCGUAGUCCCUGUCUCUUAUAC